CUCAUAUAGCAAAACCCUCUCUCUCUCUCUCUCCCCGGAUCAUCUCAUCUUUUCUCAGUAGCUCUGGUUCUGCUUUUUCGGUGCAUUUUCUGGUUUUCCGGCAGUUUGAUGAGGUUUUCUUGAACCCGGCGGAGGCAGCAGCGGCUUGGGCAGUGCUUGGAGAUCGGCGGUGCUCUUUUCUACCUUGAAUAUAAGAUCCGUUUGGACGGCUGCGAUUAAAUUCUGCGCCGGAUAGAAGAUCUCGCUGGAAUUUCGGAUUGGGGCUAUGAGGAUGCUUUUGGGGAGAGUGUUGAUCGUAUAGUGCCUCAUCCUGGUGGUGAACCAGCCAAAAAGUUUGUAUCUCAACAUUAUUUCCAUAAGGAGCCACAGCGUGCAGUAGCAAGUUCUGUUGGGAGGAGCACCGAUGGCAAAAACUAUGUAGUUAAAAAUGUUUUGCAGGGAAUGAGAAGACUACCUUUCAUUCAACUAUAAAGUACCGAAAGGCCUCAAUGCUGGAGAAGAGUUUGUGGCCCCACAUGCACGACAAUGCAUUUCAUGCUUCAUGUGAUAGUAGGCCCAUCAAUGCUCUGACUGGUUUACCUUUUGACAAAUCUAAAGUAUCUGAUAAUUGCUUCAAAAGUAGCAGUGUAGAGUCACUUGGCAAUGAGUUUUGUGCAAAUGAUCCUAUCCUUGGAAAGGGAGGUGCUGUAGUUGACAGCAACUUCUGCCGCUUCCUGCUUGGUGAUAUUUCUCCAGCAGACAAUGAUCUUGAAUUUUAUGGGAAUGAACAUGAGGACAAAGAGAGUAGCAUUCUUUUGGAUUAUGGGUGGUCUGAUAUCGGCAAUUUUGAGGAUAUUGACAGAAUGUUCAGAAACUGUGAUUCCACAUUCGGGGAAGAAAAUAUUUGUACUAUGGCUGCAAACGAAUUGUCAUGGUUUCCAGCUUCCUCACAUGAAAUCGAUGGCUCUGAUGAUGCUCUUAAACCAGGUGUCAGAUCUUCGUGUUCAGAGUCUAGUGCAUUGAAGAGUAAAUCAAAGCAUUGUGAAGCUGCUAUGAAGUCCAUGCCUGGCAGUGACCCCCCUCUGAUAUCUAGUUUUGAUAGGAAAAGUAGCUCCUACACUUGUAAGACAGGUUCUUGGACUUCUGAUGCUGAUGAGCCUCCUCAUCUGGGUCACUGCCAUUACACUGACUGGUUGAAUGCUGAUGCUGAAAAUGAGGGGGAAUCUGCAUCUGUAAAACUGGUAGAUGAAGGUACCUGCCCAGAUGAGGUCAAACUACCACCUCUUGAACAGCUUAACAAUGCUGUGGAGAGAUCUUCUGAUCCUCUGUCAAAGCCUUCAACUUUUCCAGAGCAAAAGGCAGGAAAGCUCCAUCAAUGGCAGCAAGUACGAGCUGCAUCAACUAUUGAGAACCAACAGGAGCAUUGUAUGUGCCAGACUGCAUUUGGUGAUCCAGUUCCAGUUCAGAAGAAACUGCACCAAAUUCAACAUGAAGUUGGAGAUGAUAGUGAAGUGAAAGAGCUUGGCAUGGAACUCCCAGCAGUAGAAAUAAAUUCUUCAAUUGGACAGGAAAGCUCCUGUAUGAGCUUUGUUCUGCUUGAUGAACUCUCAUUGGAAGCAAUAAGCUUUUGUCAGCUUCAGGAUGAUAUGGAGCAGUUGGAUAUCAGAACAAAGUUAUGUAUACGAGAUAGUUUGUAUCGUUUAUCUAGGAGUGCUGAACAACGCCGUAAUCUUGGUAGCACAAAUGGUAGUAGCAAAGAUAGCAGAGGUGGAAGUGGAGCUCCAAGUGCAGAAGAAUCAAACAUGUGUGUGGGAUCAAUGGAUGUGGAAACUGACACAAAUCCCAUAGAUCGGGCAGUUGUGCAUUUGCUUUUCUACAGGCCCUUUGAGCCAUCAAAGAGGUCUUCUAAUGGUUCCUUGUCUCUUGAAUCAAUAUCAUAUCAGCCUAUGAUGCCCGACCAACAAGUUUUUGAGAAAGACAUCAUUGUUCAUUUUACUGACUGGUAGCCACAAAUCAAGCUCAAGACAAACCUCUAUGAAAAGUUCCCAUGUGUUUUGAACCGUCAAUGUCAUCAUGUAUAAAUAAUGACUCUGAAGUGGCACCAGUGAACAAGUCAGGGUGAGAAUCUUUGUAGUCCUGAUCAGAUUGAGGGGGAAGCUUCUAUUACCGACAAUGUGCCUCUUCCAAUUCUUGAUUCUUUGAAAAUUCAUGGGUAGAUGAUUUUCAUGGAACUUUUGCACCUGUGGCAAAAUUGGACUUUGUGCGGGUUUCAUUGUCUCUUGCCGGUAAUAACUCUUGGCCGCUAUUACCAAUUAAAUGUCAAGAAUGCAUUUCUUCAUGGGGAUCUUUGGAAGAAAUGUAUAUGACUUCACUACUAGGGUUCUUUCCAUCCACUGGUAGUGGUACAAUGAGCAAGCUUGGAAUGGUCUUGUCAUCUCUGGCUUAAACGUUUUAGUACUGCUAUGCAUAAAUUUGUCUUUCUCAUAGUUUUAUUGAUCUUACCCCAUUCUUUAAAGAGGAACACUGGAAUCAAAUGGUGGUAAGUUGUGUUGAUGAUUUGUUGUUGUGGGAGAUGACACAGAUGAGAUUAAGAAUUUAAAGAAGUUUACAGUCAAAGGGUUCAACAUCAAAGAUCUUGCUCUGUUGAAAUAUUUCUUGGGAAUUGGAGUUGAUAGGAUGCAGGGGGAAUGUUAUACUCUCCAGAAGUAUGUUCUGGACUUAUUGCAUGAGCUGGUUUAAUUGGUGCUUGUCCAACUGACACUCCAGUUGAACAGAGUCAUCACCUUCAGCUAGAUAGUGGAGAGUUAUUGACCUAUACGGGUAUGCUAGCAAUUGGUUGGUGGGCUCGUCUAUUUGCAAAUUACGAGAUCAUAUACAUCGUACAUCAUCUAUGUUGUUGGCAAGUUCAUGCAUUCUCCAUUUACAUGUUAUUCAGAUGUUGUAUAUAAAAAGGUUCCCUGAUCGAGUUAUUCUCUAUUCGAAGCAUAGUCAUCUUGAUGUUGAGGUAUAUACUAAUGUUGACUGGCCUGGUCACAUAUUGAUAGAAGAUCCACGACUGGCUAUGGUACAAUGGUUGGUGGUAAUCCAGUUACAUGAAAGAGUAAGAAGCAAUAAUUCUCUGUUCCAAGCAUGGUCAUCUUGAUGUUGAGGUAUAUACUAAUGUUGACUGGCCUAGUCACAUAUUGAUAGAAGAUCCGCUACUGGCUAUGGUACAAUGGUUGGUAGUAAUCGGGUUACGUGGAAGAGUAAGAAGCAAUAGCUCUCUAUUCCAAGCAUGGUCAUCUUGAUGUUGAGGUAUAUACUAAUGUUGACUGGCCUGGUCUCACAUAUUGAUAGAAGAUCCACUACUGGCUAUGGUACAAUGGUCAGUGGUAAUCCGGUUAUGUGGUAGAGUAAGAAGCAAUAAUUCUCUGUUCCAAGCAUGGUCAUCUUGAUGUUGAGGUAUAUACUAAUGCUGACUGGCCUGGUCACAUAUUGAUAGAAGAUCCACUACUGGCUCUGGUACAAUGGUUGGUUGUAAUCUGGUUGUGUGGAAGAGUAAGAAGCAAUAAUUCUCUGUUCCAAGCAUGGUCAUCUUGAUGUUGAGGUAUAUACUAAUGUCGACUGGCCUGGUCAUAUAUUGAUAGAAGAUCCACUACUGGCUAUGGUACAAUGGUUGGUGGUAAUCCGGUUACGUGGACAAGUAAGAAGCAAUAAUUCUCUAUUCCAAGCAUGGCCAUCUUGAUGUUGAGGUACCUACUAAUGUUGAUUGGCCUGGUCACAUAUUGAUAUAGAAGAUCCAGUACUGGCUAUGGUACAAUGGUUGAUGGUAAUCCAGUUGCGUGGAAGAGUAAGAAGCAAUAAUUGUUGUACGAUUUUGUGCUGAAGCAAAGUGUCAUGCUAUGGUUCAUGGGGGUUGUGAGCUGCUUUAGUUGAACACCAUGCUAAGAGAGUUGGGCAUGCAUGUUAAUCUUCUGAAAACGAUGAAUGCACAAAAUAUAUUGAAGUCAAAGACUUAUUUUACUUUGCGAGAAGGUGACUUCAAACGAGAUUAAAUGUCAUAUCCAAAGUCCAAAGAUCAGCUGGCAGAUUUUUGAACUAAAGCAAUUGGUUGUUGUCACUUGUUAGUUUGACUAGACAUGUUACAAGUAGCCCAUGGUUGGCACUCUUACUCCAGCUUGAGGGGGAGUGUAGAGACACGGAGUCAGUCAUGUAGCAAACUAUUGUUUCAUGUUUUACUGUUCUUGUUUUGCGUACCAUAUAGUAAUGCAGUCAUGCAAAGUGCCAUAUUUGACAGCGACAUGGAAUAUAAAAUAGAGUUGUUUGUUUCAUUGCCAAAUAAAAAAUGUAGUUGUUUGGUUCA